UUUCUCCUGCUAAGGUGCAUCUUGUGUAGUCAGUGAAUUAGUCUAGUAUCUACUGCGCUAGGUGCUCCUUCUGGCAGGAGAA
rnacentral:pre_miRNA from 1 species